GACGAACGCUGGCGGCGUGCUUAACACAUGCGAGUCGAACGGAAAGGCCUGCUUUCCCUUGUGGAUUGCGGGUACUCGAGUGGCGAACGGGCGAGUAACACGUGAGUGAUCUGCCCCCAACUUGGGUAUAAGCCUGGGAAACUGGGUCUAAUUCCCGAUAGGACUGCAGGGUGGUGCCUGUGGUGGAAAACGUUCUUCUAGUGGUUGGGGAUGAGCCCGCGGCCUAUCAGCUUGUUGGUGGGGCAAUGGCCUACCAAGGCGGGGACAGGUAGCCGGCCAGGGAGGGUGGACGGCGACAUUGGGACUGGGUUACGGCCCAGACUGCAACGGGAAGCAGCAGUGGGGAAGAAUGCACAAUGGGCGGAAGCCUGAAGCAGCGACGCCGCGUGGGGGAUGACGGGCUUCGGGUUGUAAGCUCCUUGCGACCACGAGGAAGCCACCUGGUUGGAAGGGUGGUGACGGUAGUGGUAGAAGAAGCACCGGCUAACUACGUG
rnacentral:rRNA from 1 species